rnacentral:rRNA from 1 species
AUUGAACGCUAGCGGCAGGCCUAAUACAUGCAAGUCGAACGGGAUUAAGAGGCUUGCUUCUUAUGAGAGUGGCGCACGGGUGCGUAACACGUAUGCAACCUACCUUCAACUGGGGGAUAGCCUUCCGAAAGGGAGAUUAAUACCGCAUAAUAUAAUUGAGUGGCAUCACUUGAUUAUCAAACGUCAGGGUUGAAGAUGGGCAUGCGUCCGAUUAGUUUGUUGGUGAGGUAACGGCUCACCAAGACUGCGAUCGGUAGGGGAUCUGAGAGGAUGGCCCCCCACACUGGUACUGAGACACGGACCAGACUCCUACGGGAGGCAGCAGUAAGGAAUAUUGGUCAAUGGACGGAAGUCUGAACCAGCCAUGCCGCGUGCAGGAAGACGGUCCUCUGGAUUGUAAACUGCUUUUGUUAGGGAAGAAACUUCCGUACGUGUACGGGACUGACGGUACCUAAAGAAUAAGGAUCGGCCAACUCCGUGCCAGCCGCCGCGGUAACAC